rnacentral:rRNA from 1 species
UACGGAGGGUGCAAGCGUUAUCCGGAUUCACUGGGUUUAAAGGGUGCGUAGGCGGGUAGGUAAGUCAGUGGUGAAAUCUUCGAGCUUAACUCGGAAACUGCCAUUGAUACUAUCUAUCUUGAAUUCUCUGGAGGUGAGCGGAAUAUGUCAUGUAGCGGUGAAAUGCUUAGAUAUGACAUAGAACACCCAUUGCGAAGGCAGCUCGCUACGGAGUCAUUGACGCUGAGGCACGAAAGCGUGAGGAUCAAACAGG